rnacentral:rRNA from 1 species
UACGUAGGGGGCUAGCGUUGUCCGGAAUUAUUGGGCGUAAAGAGCUCGUAGGCGGUUUGUCGCGUCGAAUGUGAAAACCCGGGGCUCAACCCCGGGCCUGCAUUCGAUACGGGCAGACUAGAGUUCGGUAGGGGAGUCUGGAAUUCCUGGUGUAGCGGUGAAAUGCGCAGAUAUCAGGAGGAACACCGGUGGCGAAGGCGGGACUCUGGGCCGAUACUGACGCUGAGGCACGAAAGCGUGGGGAGCAAACAGG